rnacentral:rRNA from 1 species
GACGAACGCUGGCGGCGUGCUUAACACAUGCAAGUCGAACGGAAAGGCCUUUUCGGAGGUACUCGAGUGGCGAACGGGUGAGUAACACGUGGGUGAUCUGCCCUGCACUCUGGGAUAAGCCUGGGAAACUGGGUCUAAUACCGGAUAGGACCGCACUUUAGUGUGUGUGGUGGAAAGUUUUUUCGGUGUAGGAUGAGCCCGCGGCCUAUCAGCUUGUUGGUGGGGUAAUGGCCUACCAAGGCGGCGACGGGUAGCCGGACUGGGAGGUUGGUCGGCCACAUUGGGACUGAGAUACGGCCCAGACUCCUACGGGAGGCAGCAGUGGGGAAUAUUGCACAAUGGGCGCAAGCCUGAUGCAGCGACGCCGCGUGGGGGAUGACGGCCUUCGGGUUGUAAACUCCUUUCGCCAGGGACGAAGCGUUUUGUGACGGUACCUGGAGAAGAAGCACCGGCUAACUACGU